UACGUAGGCAGCGAGCGUUGUUCGGAAUUACUGGGCGUAAAGAGUGUGUAGGCGGUGCUCUAAGUUCGGUGUGAUAUCUCCCGGCUUAACUGGGAGGGUGCGCCGGAAACUGGAGUGCUCGAGCGUGGGAGAGGAAAGCGGAAUUCCUGGUGUAGCGGUGAAAUGCGUAGAUAUCAGGAGGAACACCUGCGGUGUAGACGGCUUUCUGGACCAUUGCUGACGCUGAGACACGAAAGCGUGGGUAGCAAACAGG
rnacentral:rRNA from 1 species